rnacentral:lncRNA from 1 species
AGAAAUAGUAUUCUGACCCAUUUUUUCACUAACUAUCGCCUCUCUAAAGCUACUUUGUAACCUCUUCUCACAGCAUUCUUUUCACUUUGGUUGAGGACAAAUCAUUUCCAGGUUCUUAAAGAAAAUCGUUCGAGAAUCGUGAGGUAAUGUAACUCUUCUUCUUUUUCAGGUUUCAAUUUGGUUGAUAUAUUGUAAAGUCUAUCUUCUUCUUUAGGGUUUAUAUUUGAUUUUGUAAAUUAAAGAAAAUCUUUUUCAAAAUUGUAACGUAAUGUAACUCUCUAGACUCAAUUACUCUAUAGUAUGUAAUUAUGCUCAAGGAACCUUCCAAGGGUUGUUUGAAUUAGAAAAUUAUUUCAAAAAUACAUUUGUUGCUCUUUGUUUGCAUUUGAUGCCCCUGCAAUAUGGUGAAAUCUUGUUUCACUUUCUUACAGUAUUUGUCUGAGCUUUAUGAAAUUAGUCACUUUACACGAUAGUGGGACAAUCUUUGUUACUCUUUUGCUUUAACAAAACUUAGGACCUCUUUUUUUUUUAAAAUAAAAAUAAAUGGGUGUUGGAGUUCUUUUUGCUGCUUUUGCUCUAGAAUACAUUAGAUAUAAAGGUACUUAGUACAUAGAGUAUAUGUCAUGUUCUGUAUUUCUUCUUGUUUUUUCUCAUUUGAAAUUAAAAUGUAAUUGCAGACAUUGGUUUAUUACUUGUAACGCAUGAAUACCAGAAAGUGUAAAAAACAAUAUUCUAGUGCAACUCUCACCAUACAUUUAUGUUUUGAUCAUAGGAGUGAAAUAUUAGUAUAGGCAGAGUAAAUUAGUAUUCAAUUUUUUAAAAAAGAAAUAAGAGUAGUAGUGAAAAAAAAAGCACUUGAAGCAGAAGCACGAAAAGAACACAGAUAGAGAUGGCAUAUUUGUCUUCUAAGUCCUAACUUUGAGUGUAGUAUUCUGUAUAUUCCAUGGGAUAUGGGGGAAAUGAGCAUUUUUUGUGAUUUUUAGUUUUAGUGAUUAUUAUAUUUUGAGCAUAGGAAACUGAACAAGUUUCUCAGUGAGCUUUAAGAAAGAUUAGAGUUGCGGUGGGGAGGAAAUGACUUAUACAACUCAUAGGAUCAGUUGCUUGCGUUACUUAGCUUAUUUUUUGCUUCGCAUCAGGUGGUAAAAACUGGUCUAAAAAAUUAUUUGAUAUUUCAUAUAGUUCGUAAGAGUAUUUAAUUUGAAAAUGUUUGGUGGUUAUAGCCUUACAUACUGAUUAUUUAUUUGUUAUUUGAUUACAUGCCUUGGUUUGUUAUGGGAUCUAUGUUGAAUGUACUAUAAUGCUUUUUCUGCUGUUUCUAAGUUCUCACCUACAUAUGUUUGUUUCUUAUGUGUAUACAAGUGAUAGUGUCUAGGAACUGAUGGAUCAUCACGCCUGAUAAGUAGGAAGGAAGUUGCAGGUCUCUUGUCCCUCCAAGCAAUAAUACUCAUUUUUUCCUUAACUAAUACUCUAAUAGAAUACAAUUGAUAGAGUUCAACUACAUCUUUGUAGGAAUAAUCUCUUUGUUUGAGUUGAGGUGAUAGAGUUCGAUUGCAUCUUCCUUAUCUAAUACUCUUUAUGUAUAUAUAUCGAUUUUGAACAUUCUAAAAAUAAUUAUAGAAGUUGACUUAGUGGUUAAGAGGAUUCAAAAUUCACCUCGAAGUUUCAAGUUAAAAUAUGAAGGGAGGAAGAUCAAAGGGAAAGAAGACUAAAUUUAAUUAGGUAUACAGAGCAGUUUGAAGAAAGCUUUAAGAUUAAUUAAAUUUCAGAGUACUCUUGGUCACAAAAAUUCAGCCAAAUGAUUUUCUCUUAGCAACCAUACCUAUCAUCCAAACCCAUCUCACGGCUAGUCUUCCUGGUUUGUUUCAUCAUAUUUACCUAGUUACCAUCCUUCAGAUGACGAUCAACAAAGAAUUCACUGCUUUAAGAAUUUAGCAACUAAAUACGCCUUUUUCUUUAAUUAGGAAACUUUGUAGAAAGAAAUGGGAUGAGGGGAGUAAAGAAAACACACAAACUACCAUUUGUGAAGAUACACAACGAAUUGGAACACAACCUUCCUUGUUUCAUCCAUCAUCAUCGUUGUCUAGUGCUUCUACUUUUCAAUCUUCGAAAGAAAUGGAAGUAAUGCGAAGACAAAUUUCAGAGCUUACAGAAUCACUUCAAUCAUCAUAAACUAACUUCGGUAAAGUGCAGAAAUUCAUGGAGAAACAUAGGUUGAAUCUGAUGAAAGUGAAGGGACCGACUCUGAUGAAAAAGUAGAUUAUUUUAUGGUUGUUUAGAUAUUUUCUAUGAGAUUUAGACAUGUUUUGAACUAUAUACUUCCUUUUUGCAUAACAACUUAGUAAUUAUUAGAUUUGAUUUUGGUGAAACUUGAGCUUUUAGACUCAAUUGAAUUGAAUUGAAUGCAAUUUGAAUGUUUGUUCAUUCUUGAAAGUGAAUGGGUCAAAAUAUGAAGGAAAAGUAUGAAUAAGAAUAUACUCAUGUAUGGUUGGAAAUAUGUCACAACUCACCUCUACGGGAGGUUUGAGAGAAAUAAAUAAAUUUUAUUUGACAAGAUUGACCAAUGGUCGUGUACGUUUAUACGUCAUAAAUAUUGUGGUAUGUUUAUUGUGAACUACCGAAAAGGCAAAAGAAAGAAAUAAUUAUUGCCUAUAAAGGUUGUGG